GUUGGGGGGACUUAUAUUUUGAAAAAUAUGACCUUAGAGUCGAAAAGUCAACAUUGUCGCAGACUUCACCGAGGUUGUCUGUUGAUAACAGCAGCCUCUACUUCAGUCUGUAAAUAUACCAACCUAAACUAAUCCAAUGUAGAUUUUCUUCUUUAGUGUUACUACAAUUUUCGCAACCUUUUGUGAUUAACUAAUUACGCUUCACCAUGUCAUCAAAGGAUUCCAAGGCCAGGAGAAGCGAGUCAAGUACCCGCACAGAUGAACGAAAGCGGUCAAGGAGUAGUGGGGAAGACCAGCGUAAGCGGAAACGCAGUCGAAGCAGAUCGUCCUCGUCAUCCAGUUCGUCCUCAUCAUCUUCCUCUUCUUCCUCUUAUUCAUCCUCAUCGUCGUCUUCCUCAUCUCGCUCGUCCUCCCGCAGCAGAAGUAGCAGUUCCAGUAGCAGAGAUUCUCACAGCAAGUCAGGGAAGGCUCCAAAGAAGAGUAAAAAGGAGAAGCUCAAUAAAAAGAAGGGAAAGAAGGAGAAAAAGAACAAACGGAAAAAGGACAAGAAAUCCAAAGGAGAGGAGGAACCUUCUGGACCUGUGCAGAUCUCAAAGUACCUGAAAGACAAAAAGAAGGGCAAGUUCAGCAUGAUCUCAGGGAGGAAGAUCAAAAUGAAAAUGAAGAAGACAAAGACAGACAAGCAGAGGGACAAAAAUCGUGCAGAGCUGCUUGAGUUUCUCAAUUCCACAUUAUAA
rnacentral:lncRNA from 1 species